rnacentral:snRNA from 1 species
AUACUCUGUUUUCUCUUCAGAUCGUAUAAAUCUUUCGCCUUUUACUAAAGGUUUCCGUCGAGAGGAACAUUUAUGAGUUUGUAACUAAUUUUUUGAGGUCUUAAAAACAAACAAACA